rnacentral:rRNA from 1 species
GAUGAACGCUGACAGAAUGCUUAACACAUGCAAGUCGAUGGGGAAGUGGUGCUUGCACCAUGGCAACCAUGGCGGACGGGUGAGUAACGCGUAAGGGACUUACCUGCAGGACUGGGAUAACAGGGGGAAACUCCUGACAAGACCGGAUAAUGUCAUGGAGCUGCAUGGCUUUAUGAUGAAAGGAGACGCCUGCGGAGAGCCUUGCGUCCUAUUAGCUAGUUGGUGAGGUAAUGGCUCACCAAGGCGAAGAUAGGUAGCCGGCUUGAGAGGGUGGACGGCCACAAGGGGACUGAGAUACGGCCCUUACUCCUACGGGAGGCAGCAGUGGGGAAUAUUGGACAAUGGGGGCAACCCUGAUCCAGCAAUUCUGUGUGCACGAAGAAGGUUUUCGGAUUGUAAAGUGCUUUCAGCAGGGAAGAAGUAAGUGACGGUACCUGCAGAAGAAGCGACGGCUAAAUACGUG